rnacentral:rRNA from 1 species
GACGAACGCUGGCGGCGUGCUUAACACAUGCAAGUCGAACGAUGAAGCCCAGCUUGCUGGGUGGAUUAGUGGCGAACGGGUGAGUAACACGUGAGUAACCUGCCCUGGACUCUGGGAUAACCCCGAGAAAUCGGAGCUAAUACCGGAUAGGACCUUUCCUCGCAUGAGGUUUGGUGGAAAGUUUUUCGGUUUGGGAUGGACUCGCGGCCUAUCAGCUUGUUGGUGAGGUAAUGGCUCACCAAGGCGUCGACGGGUAGCCGGCCUGAGAGGGUGACCGGCCACACUGGGACUGAGACCCGGCCCAGACUCCUACGGGAGGCAGCAGUGGGGAAUAUUGCACAAUGGGCGCAAGCCUGAUGCAGCAACGCCGCGUGCGGGAUGACGGCCUUCGGGUUGUAAACCGCUUUUAGUAGGGAAGAAGGGCUUCGGCUUGACGGUACCUGCAGAAAAAGGACCGGCUAACUACGUGCCAGCCGCCGCCGUAAUAC